rnacentral:rRNA from 1 species
GAUGAACGCUGGCGGCGUGCCUAAUACAUGCAAGUCGAGCGAACGGACGAGAAGCUUGCUUCUCUGAUGUUAGCGGCGGACGGGUGAGUAACACGUGGAUAACCUACCUAUAAGACUGGGAUAACUUCGGGAAACCGGAGCUAAUACCGGAUGAUAUUUUGAACCGCAUGGUUCAAAAGUGAAAGACGGUCUUGCUGUCACUUAUAGAUGGAUCCGCGCUGCAUUAGCUAGUUGGUAAGGUAACGGCUUACCAAGGCAACGAUGCAUAGCCGACCCGAGAGGGUGAUCGGCCACACUGGAACUGAGACACGGUCCAGACUCCUACGGGGGGCAGCAGUAGGGAAUCUUCCGCAAUGGGCGAAAGCCUGACGGAGCAACGCCGCGUGAGUGAUGAAGGUCUUCGGAUCGUAAAACUCUGUUAUUAGGGAAGAACAUAUGUGUAAGUAACUGUGCACAUCUUGACGGUACCUAAUCAGAAAGCCACGGCUAACUACGUG